rnacentral:lncRNA from 1 species
GUGAUGUCUAAUUUGGGGCCCCUGAACCUAUUCAUCCUAGGUGACCAAUGUUUGGGGUGGGCUUGAUGCCAAGUCUCUUUACCAAGCCAAUCAAGUAGAAGAAUAUGUUUUUGAAAUACUUCCUAUAUUAUGUCACAUGCAAUUCAUCACAUAUGACCAACAGCAAUUGUGUUUGCCUUCUUACUACAGAACGAUUGUGUAUGUGCCUAAUUAGAAAAAAGCCUAGUGUGUUCAUCGCUGCUUUCUCCAAGGGAAAACUGGCUUUUCUUCUAUUCAACAGAUGGAGGGAAACGACCUAAUAGGAUCUUCAAAUCAGUGGGACACCCCAGAGUUCAUUAGAGGCCUUGAGGAUGCCCAUAGAUCUUCAGAGACACCCCCAUUGUCAGAAGGAGAGAAGCCACAAGAGGUUGGACUACCAUCUGUCUGGAAUGGUUCUGUAAACCUGCAUUAAUUUUUGAGUUGGACUCAAUGACCUCUGGAGAUCCCUUUCAACUCUGCGGUUCUGUGUUUCUAUGGAGUGAUGCAAAUUCUAAAUAUUCUCAUAGGUCCCAAAAGGCUGAUAAUCCCUAGUCCAACUUAUCAGAUUUAAAACAUCCCUGUGAAGUGGAUCGAUGGAAGAGAUUUAGCAGCUUUCAUAAAGAAACAUGAAGAUCAAACCAGAUGCUUCUCCAUAUUUUGCUGCAGGAGGCUAUAGCAAAGAGGCAGAAGAAAUGACCUAGAAAGAAUGUAACCAUUAGCAUCUUCCCAGAAGAAGGUACUACAAACUUCUUUCUGUAAUCUUGCCAAGGAAACUGGAUGAGUGUGACCAAAGCAACUCUCAUUUAUGGGAAAAGUCAAAGUUUCUUUCCUUUUGCCCACCCUAGGACCUUACAGAUAUUUCUGGCUAUAUUUCCCAUUGGUGCCACCCAGCAUAAUCCCUUUCUUCUUCUCUUAUAACCAAGGUGAUAAAAUGAUCCAAGCACAUGUACAGUGACCCAUCCUGUGUAGGCUAUUUUACCUUGGGAUGUAUAAAGACUCACUUGCACUGCCUUCAAUUCCAUUGUCCAGGUACUGGUUCUUCUCAGCCACAAACCAAUAUGCUGGGCUUUCUGCCCCCCAGCCAUUAUAACAAGCAUACAACUGUGAGGCAGCCAUGAAAUAUAAUAUUGUCAUCACAGUUUGGGUGCUGACAAAAUAUUGUUUCUUAAUAACGGCUCAGGAUGGCCAAUAGAUGUGUCUUUUUGGGAACUAUAUCAGACUGCAGACUGAAGGCAUCCUGAGUAGAGUUGACAUUUGUAGCUCUUUAAUAGUGGAGCAGAAGAG